rnacentral:rRNA from 1 species
GCCUACGGCCACACCCCGUUGAACACACCGGUUCUCGUCCGAUCACCGAAGUUAACCAACGUCGGGCCUGGUUAGUACUUGGAUGGGUGACUGCCUGGGAACACCGGGUGCUGUAGGCA